rnacentral:rRNA from 1 species
GACGAACGCUGGCGGCGUGCUUAACACAUGCAAGUCGAACGGAAAGGCCCUGCUUUUUUGGGGUGCUCGAGUGGCGAACGGGUGAGUAACACGUGAGUAACCUGCCCUUGACUUUGGGAUAACUUCAGGAAACUGGGGCUACUCCCGGAUAGCAGCUCCUGCUGCAUGGUGGGGGUUGGAAAGUUUCGGCGGUUGGGGAUGGACUCGCGGCUUAUCAGCUUGUUGGUGGGGUAGUGGCUUACCAAGGCUUUGACGGGUAGCCGGCCUGAGAGGGUGACCGGCGACAUGGGGACUGAGGUACGGAGCAGACUCCUACGGGAGGCAGCAGGGGGGAGUAUGGCACAAUGGGCGGAAGUGGGAGGCAGCAACGCCGGGGGCGGGAAGACGGCCUGCGGGUUGUAAACAGCUGUAGGCUGAGACGAAGCGGGAGUGACGGUAAUGGGGAAAGAAGCACCGGCUAACUACGU